rnacentral:rRNA from 1 species
ACGCUCGACACCUACGGGAGACAGCAGUAGGGAAUCUUCCACAAUGGACGCAAGUCUGAUGGAGCAACGCCGCGUGAGUGAAGAAGGUCUUCGGAUCGUAAAACUCUGUUGUUAGAGAAGAACACGAGUGAGAGUAACUGUUCAUUCGAUGACGGUAUCUAACCAGCAAGUCACGGCUAACUACGUGCCGGCAGCCGCGGUAAUCUGAGCGGGCUGGCAAGGC